rnacentral:lncRNA from 1 species
UCAACAUGCAAGUUGAUCAGCAGAACGAGACGAACCCGGAUACACGGUCCAUUCGUCUCUCACGCGUCCCUAGCAUAGCAAACAAGGAACCUUUCCAUCGUUUCGAGUAUAACCGGUAGUAGCCCCAGACCCGGGAAAUAUCGUCAGAUAUUCUUCCGACCCGUCUAUGACGGAUGUUGUUGCGUUAGCUCAUGUCUAGCCUGCAUCUUGCCAUGUCAUGCUUUGUGUUGCAUCGGUGCUAUUAUUUAUUGUUUCUUCCCCCUCUUCUUACCAGUAGACCC